rnacentral:misc_RNA from 1 species
UCAAUAACAGUUGGUGGUAUAGCCACUGGCUCAGAUAGUUUUGUACUAGCUACUUCCUUUCUAGGGUCACUGCUUGAGUAAGUCUAAAACACCAUUGCUAAACAGGUGAUAACAUCAUGUUGCUAUUGAACAUUGUUCUUAACAUCAAGUAUUUAUGAUGUUAAAACUUGUGCUUUAUUUAGGAAAUCUUAUGAGGAAGGAGUUUUAGUAACAAUGGAAGAAGAAUUGGAGUAAUUUUCAGAAAAUAUUUUAAGAAAACUGAAAACUAAAAUUUAGAAAACAGUUUUAAGUUAUUUUUCAUUGUUUUCUUUUAUAACAAAAGAUGUAUUUUCCAUUGUUUCUAAUGAAUGCAAAAUAAUAUUUUCUAUCAUCAAAAC